AAUGACGGAUUAGAUAAGGAAUGCGG
rnacentral:piRNA from 1 species